AUUGAACGCUGGCGGCAUGCCUUACACAUGCAAGUCGAACGGCAGCGGGGGAGCUUGCUCCUGCCGGCGAGUGGCGAACGGGUGAGUAAUGCAUCGGAACGUGUCCUGUUGUGGGGGAUAACUGAUCGAAAGAUCAGCUAAUACCGCAUGAGACCUGAGGGUGAAAGCGGGGGAUCGAAAGACCUCGCGCGACAGGAGCGGCCGAUGUCUGAUUAGCUAGUUGGUGAGAUAAAAGCUUACCAAGGCGACGAUCAGUAGCUGGUCUGAGAGGAUGAUCAGCCACAUUGGGACUGAGACACGGCCCAGACUCCUACGGGAGGCAGCAGUGGGGAAUUUUGGACAAUGGGGGAAACCCUGAUCCAGCCAUGCCGCGUGCGGGAUGAAGGCCUUCGGGUUGUAAACCGCUUUUGUCAGAGACGAAAAGGGACGCACGAAUAAUGCGUCCCGCUGACGGUAUCUGAAGAAUAAGCACCGGCUAACUACGUG
rnacentral:rRNA from 1 species